rnacentral:rRNA from 1 species
AUGGAAGGGAGGCGACGUGGCGGAGAUCACGUAGCUCGAAGGAGGCCCGCAUCCACUGAUGACAUCCCCGAGAUCUCCCCGCUCGGACUCCCACCCCAAGUCGCCGCCUCCCGUGAACCCGAUCCGAUGAGCGGGUGCACGCGGAUCAUCGGGCCGGAUCACAUGACCGACGCGCUCCAGCUCGUGCCCCCGUCCUUCGGUCCGUGCGCGGCCGCUCCCAGCCAGGCCGUGUGCUCCUGGUUUCCGACGUUCAUCGGGGCUCACGGUCACAGACUCUUGCGUGAUCUUCGUGACUUCGUGUCCGGCCUCGGCCUCCGCCCCGUGAGCCCAGGGGCCGGAGGAUCGCCCCCUUUUGCCUUUGCGUGGGGGCUAGUCAAGCACAUCCAACCCCGUACCCGUGCAAGAGUGCGAGUGCAACCACGGUCUGGAUCCAUCGAUCCCUGUGAUUUCGGGCAAUCUUCCUCUGGCCGUGCGUCAAAUUUUGUAAAAUUUGAUCAACUUUAUUGA